GGGCCUGCAUUUGCUCAGAACACUGAGCUUCCUGGUACAAGGCAGAUGCUUUGUAGAACAAAUCUGAAUGAAUUAAACACUGCGAACAACAAAAAAUGAAGAGAGAGGUCUCUCCAAGGGAGUUUGGAAGUCUCACUGGCUGCCUUAAAGGUGGACUUCUCCACUGUUCUCUGUGGAAGCCAGAGACACAUCUAAUAAAAAGGACCCAGAGCUGUCCUAUCAUCCCAGGCCCCCAGAGCAAUAAAUCAAAGGACAGAGCUCAUUAAACAUGAUUCAGCCACAGGAAUGAGACAUUUCAAAGAAUUAAAAUCCUCCUGAAAUCGACUCCUUUACAAAGCAAAAGACAUCCAUGGAGUAAACAUUAUUGCACCUACUAUAUGUCGGGUAAUAAACAUGUUUUGCAUUACUUAAACCUUAGUCAACCAUCCCCAUUUUAUGGAUGAGUAAAUUGGGGCUUAUGUCAAUAAUAGUAUUAUGCCAAGUGAAAUAAGACCAUCGGAGAAAGAUAAUUAUCGAAUGAUCUCACUCACAGGUGGAACUUAACAAAACAGAGGAUGAUUAGGGAAGGGAGGGAAAAAUAAAACAAGAAAAAAUCAGAGAGGGAAACAAACCAUAAGAGACUCU